GAGGGUGUAGCUCAGUGGUAGAGUGUGUGCUUAGCAGGCAUGAGGUCCGGGUUCAAUACCCAGUGCCUCCA
rnacentral:tRNA from 1 species